rnacentral:lncRNA from 1 species
GUGUUUUCAACAACAGAGAUAAAAAUCAAAAUGAGAAAAACUAACAAUCUGAUCUUUUAGCAGUGACACUUGGAACUACAAAAUCAGGUAAACUGAGACAAGAUGGAGCUGCCUGAGCACUUGCUGAACCAUGCUUCAAGUGCAACAAAAAGGAUGCUGGGCAAGAGAAUGUCCCUUCUGCAAUCUCAAGAGCCACUGGAAGAGUGACUGUCCUAGACGCCAGAGAGUGGGAAGGGAAGACGUGCGCCAUUUGGUCUCCAGGAUGACUCGUCACGCUGGCUUCCUGGCAUGUACCUGACUGUGCCUGUUGUCGAAGGAGCUUGGGGCCUCCGUGUCGCUGAGGAUGGCUG